AAUUCCAUGCAGUGGAUCACUCGGCUCGGGUGUCGAGGAAGAGCGCAGCCAACUGUGUGGAUUAAUCUGAAUCGCAGACUGCUUUGAACAUUGACCUCUUGAACACACAUUGCGGCUGAAAACUUGCCUAUGGCCACGUCCAGCCGAGGAACG
rnacentral:rRNA from 1 species